rnacentral:rRNA from 1 species
AUUGAACGCUGGCGGCAUGCCUUACACAUGCAAGUCGAACGAGUGGCGGACGGGUGAGUAAUGUAUUGGAAACUGCCUGAUGGAGGGGGAUAACUACUGGAAAGGUUAGCUAAUACCGCAUACCAUCGGAUCGGCCAAGAUGGGAUUAGCUAGUAGGUGGGGUAAAGGCUCACCUGGGCGACGAUCACUAGCUGGUCUGAGAGGAUGACCGGCCACACUGGAACUGAGACACGGUCCAGACUCCGACGGUAGGCAGCAGUGGGGAAUGUUGCACAAUGGGCGCAAGCCUGAGUCAGCCAUGCCGCGUGUAUGAAGAAGGCCUUCGGGGUGUAAAGGACUUUCAGCGGGGAGGCGUUACCCGCAGAAGAAGCACCGGCUAACUCCGUGCCAGCAGCCGCGGUAAUAC